GAUGAACGCUGGCGGCGUGCCUAAUACAUGCAAGUCGAGCGAACAGACGAGGAGCUUGCUCCUCUGACGUUAGCGGCGGACGGGUGAGUAACACGUGGAUAACCUACCUAUAAGACUGGGAUAACUUCGGGAAACCGGAGCUAAUACCGGAUAAUAUAUUGAACCGCAUGGUUCAAUAGUGAAAGACGGUUUUGCUGUCACUUAUAGAUGGAUCCGCGCCGCAUUAGCUAGUUGGUAAGGUAACGGCUUACCAAGGCAACGAUGCGUAGCCGACCUGAGAGGGUGAUCGGCCACACUGGAACUGAGACACGGUCCAGACUCCUACGGGAGGCAGCAGUAGGAAAUCUUCCGCAAUGAGCGAAAGCCUGACGGAGCAACGCCGCGUGAGUGAUGAAGGUCUUCGGAUCGUAAAACUCUGUUAUUAGGGAAGAACAAAUGUGUAAGUAACUAUGCACGUCUUGACGGUACCUAAUCAGAAAGCCACGGCUAACUACGUG
rnacentral:rRNA from 1 species